AUGAUUUCUGAUAGGUCCUCGUACUUUUGACCGGUCCUUGCACUUAUGACUAGUCAUCAUUUAUGCCCGUUGCAGCAUUCUUAACAACCGUGUCACUCAUUUCACAACUGCAAUGCUUCAUGUGACCUGGUGGCCGUGGCCAGGUGGUCAUAUGGCAUCACUUCUUUGCCCUAAUGACAGUUUGCUGCAAUGUUCAUAAGUGUGAAAAACGGUCAUAAGUCACUUUUUCCAGUGCCAUUGUAAUUGUUGUAAAUCAAGGAUUAUGUGUAGAAAAAUACAAAAAACUUCUUUGCUUGCAAAAAGCUGCCCUAAAUACCAAUCAUUAGAUUAGAAAUACCUGCAAACUGAAGUUGCAAAUCAGGGAGGGUGCCAGAGCACCUUGAGGAAUUAAAAUAGUUAAAAUGCAGUGAUACUAUCAGCAGCCAACUCUUGCUCAUAAAGUGAAACCCUUUAGCAGAGAGGUCAUUUAAACUCUCCAGAAUGAAGCAAAGGAGCAAACAGAGUAUCUAUUGCUUGUUAAACCAAUUACCAGAACAAAUAGACACAGAACUAGUCAGAUUUCCAAAGCUGCUUCUUUUCAGGAUCAGAGAUUAACAUUUUUCCUUCCAAAUAAAGCUGAAUAGGGAAAAUUAUCUCAUCACUAAACACAGGAUUAAAGAUCACCAAGCACAGAAUUAAACUUCACCAAAAAUCAGUUUUAGACCAAAAGUCAGAAAGGGUAUGUAAACUCAUGUUUGAAUGUCAAUCUUUCUAGCUAGCCAAUAAGCCUUGCUGAAUGUCACUCAUCUUGGAUCUUUGUCAUUAAAAGCUUCUGCUUCGUUAUUCAAUUAUUUCUUCAAAGUGCUGAUCAUUGCACCCUGCCUGGAAAAACUCCAACAGGGGAGUAUUUCCUUCCAACAGCGGUGUAAAAAGCUUAAAACAACCCUUCCCCUUUCAGAAAGUCAAGCAAAAAAAAAAACCUCCAAGGACCUCCGGAACCGUAAGCAACAGUAAGCAAUAGGCAUAUUGCUGGAGGGGCAGUUUCUGUUAGCAGAGCAAUAAAGAUUAGGCUAGGAAACAACACGAAAUGUUGUAAUUCCUUACAGGAUUAACCCUGUAAAGUGGAAAAAAACAAGAGAUUUCUUUUAACAACUGGUUCUCCAAACUGCUUAACUACUUAACAACCAGUUCUACCGAACUGGUGCGAACUGGUAGAAUCCCACCACUGGUUACUACAGAGUGUAGCCAGGCCGGGAGCCCCAUGGAAGGAGAUAUCCAUGGAUUUUAUUUUUGAGUUGCCCAAAAGUGGAGGAAAUACGGUCAUUUGGGUGGUCACUGAUUUGUUUUCUAAGCAAGUGCAUUUUGUCCCAUGUCCCAAGAUCGGCUAAAACUCUGGCUAAAUUGUUUGUCUAGCAUGUGUAUAGAUUACCGGUGUAAUAAUAGAGCGAAUAAUCUUGGACAGAGGGGUUCAGUUCACCUCCCACUUCUGGAAGGAGUUCCUGGGGUUGUUAGGCUCCCCCCAGGGAGCUCCACCCACCACCCUCAGACCAAUGGGGUUUGUGAAAGAACUAAUUCAGUGUUGGAACAAUACCUUAGAUGUUACAUAAAUUAUCAGCAAGAUAACUGGGUGGACUUGUUGCCAUUUGCAGAGGUCGCCUAUAAUAACUCUAUACACAGCAGUACUGGUUUUACCCCAUUUAAGGUAGCCUCAGGCCAAGACUCCGUGCCCAUCCCAAAGUUGCCUCAGGAAAACCCACAGAUACCUUCCUUGGCUGACUGGAUUGAAGAGCUAUGUGGUACCUGGUCUGUAACAUGUAAGGCCCUGGACGAGGCUCACCGAGCUCAUAAAAACCAAGCUGAUAAGAAAAGGAUUCAGGGUACGGAUUAUAAAAUAGGAGAUAGGGUUUUCCUUUCCACCAAGUACUUGCACACUACCCAAAAGUCGAAAAAAACAUGGGCCCAAAUACGUGGGUCCUUUCCCUAUUGUACGCAUAGUUAACCCAGUUACGGUGCAAUUAGAGCUGCUUAAAACCUUGCGGAGGAUUCAUCCGGUGUUUCAUGUUAGUUUGCUGAAACCCGAGCGUACGUCCCCCUUGCGUCCGGACCAAGAACCUCCUCCUGUCCCUAUACUCAUUGAAGGGGAACAGCAUUUUGAGGUCAAAGAGAUACUGGAUUCGAGGAAACAUCGAGGUAAGGUGCAGUACUUGGUGGCCUGGAAACACUUCCCAUUAGCUCAAUCAGAAUGGGUAAAUGAGUGAGAUGUUAAAGCUCCAAAGCAGCUGCAAUUGUUUUAUUCCAAAUAUCCUGAUAAACCUUAGUUAUGGAGCUGUACAUAUGUUACCUGUUUAUGUAAUUUUCUAUUUUCCUUUAUUCUGUUCUUUUUCUAGGACUAACGUCUCUUCUGCAGGAUGCCGAAUGUCAGACUCCACUUUUAUAUUACUUGCUUGCUACUGCUGCUAUUGAAACGGGGGGAGGGGGGAGCUGUCUGGAUAGUUGGGAGGGGGGAAGUGAGCUGGUGGAGUAAAUUGGAGAAAGUUUUCCUCAGUGUUUCUCUGCAGCUGGGAGGCGUGCUGAUAACCACUCAAGGUCAACCAUCCUGGCAUAUCAGAAGGAUGGAGCCAUCAGAAGCUGCACCCCACAUGAUCCCUUGGGGGAAUGUGGAUUGGAUAAUCCUGACUGGACCAUUGGGGGGGAGGGUUUUAAGGAUGCUUUCUAUAUGUGAUUUUUGCACCUAUUAACUCAGACCUUGCUUUUCUUUGGUUGCAUUCAGUUCAUACUCAGUAAAAGUACCUUUCUCCGAAGAGUUUGGCCAGCUGGUGGGCUGAGGGUAGUCCGCUGCAAGGUGAAUGAACAAGCUAUCAGAAAACAACAGAUGGGGAGAUACCACCAGCUUUAAGACCAUUUCAAUGUCUUCAUGUGGAUUUUACAGAAUUACCAAAAGUGGGGAGAGUAAAAUAUUUAUUAGUCAUAGUGGACCACCUCACAGGGUGGGUUGAAGCUUUUCUCUGCAAUAAUGCUACAGCAACAGUGGUGUCAAGAGUUUUACCCAACCUACACAGAUUAUCAUCAUAUGAACUGUUGUUUGGAGUAGUUUUUACUACAGGAAGCAUGUGCAUUAAUUCCCUGGAAACCAGAGACAAAGUAUUGAAACAAUAUGUGUAUAAACUGUCCAGAUAUUUUGAAGUUUUUAGGAAACAAGGACUAUUAGCCCAAACACCACCUUUGAAGUUUCCAGUCCACAAAUUCCACCACGAUGAUUGGAUGUUGAUCCGGAGCUGGACGGAAGUUAAACCCUAGUGAAAGGGCCCGUGCCAGCCCCAAAGGAGUGGAAGGUGGAAUCUCACCAAGGAGAUCCAUUGAAGUUGCCGAUCCAAAAGAUCCAAGGGACUGGUAGGCAGCAACCAGUGGGAAUAGCAUUCUUCAUCAUCUGGACUAUUUUUGUAUUUUUUCUUUCUUAGGAUUGAGUGGUUGCCUAUGCUGUUUCCCAACUGAAGAGGACUACAACUGAUCAGAUUCCUUUGUGCACUCUCCCAGAUGUAUUGGUUUUGUAAUUGUGCUUUAAGAUCUUAGAAGGAAGAUCCUGGAUCCAGUGGACGAGACUGAAGCCUGCGAACCAGACUGAUCCCGUGACGUACCAGGUGACACAGACAGAAAAACCCCUCAUGCUGAAAUUUAAGAAGAAUACACCCUGCUGAGUCCUACCGGCAACGGACUCUCAAUGCACGGUGGUGAUCGUCAGCCUUGCUGAACCACCCCGGAAGCUGGUUCCCAGCGCACGGCCGAAGCUUGGAAUGGAGGAAGACAACAUUCCAUGACUGUAGUUUGUAAUGUAAAAUCCAUUAACUGUAAUAGAAUCCAGUGUGCACUACUUAAAGACACUCAUGCUAGAGGGAAAUUGGGUGUGGGGACUCUGGGCAACAGCUACUUUAGCCCUUUUGUUGGUAUUGUUUUAAUACAAUUGAUGUUGCCCUAUCCCAAGUUAGGCAUAUCCCUAACCCUCUUCUUGACGUGGUGAAUUUGUAAACUAUGGGUCUUGCGCUCUUAAGGCCUUGUGGGUGUUCAAGAAAUUCCCCUUGUCCCUAUAGAAGGAAUUAAAGAUGUCAAGAAUCCCAGGGGAACUAACAGCAUCAGGACACUGAAUGGGGACACUUUGGGUCAAGUCCACUCCCGCCAACAACAUGGUAUCAGACGGUGGAGGGAAGCCUUAGACCUAAACCAACUCCUAGACCUGGGAUCAAGAGUUUAACAAUCCCGGUAGAGGGGGGAAUAGAAAAGGAGAACGGACCCCUACAACAAUUGAAAAGAGGAAAUUGCAUAUCAGGGAUACUAGAAUUGGGUCGAAACCUUGUUAAAUCAUAGGGUCACCUUCCCUGUGUGUAAAGAAACAUCAGAAACCUGGUAGGCCUAUAGGAUCCCUGACAAAAGAACUAUGUCCAUCAGAAGUGUACCUUGGUCCUAGAAUGAACCUUAGGGAUGUAAAAUUAACCAAAGAUCUUUUUCCUUCUGCACACCACUCACUUUCUCAUCACCACCAACUGCCAUCAUCACAAGAUGGGGAGGAUGGAAGAGGUCCUGGAAGGUAUCCAAGGAAAGGUGCACUAGUCUGUUCCAGCCCCCUCGCUUCACAAUCUGGCUCUCCAUUAGGUCCAACACAGGUUUAUGUGUCUUCUUUCCCCCUGUUUGAAGGACCAAUUCUCAGAGAUAAACAAAAGGACCCUUCACUAGAAGUCUCAUUGCAACCACUGGCAGGAAUGUUUGUGGCAGGGACUUUGGGGGUCUGGACUAAUGAAAACUACCGUAAGAUCCAUGCUUUCUCCAUGAACAUAGGAGGUAUGUGUGUAUUUCUGGGAAAAGACUGUUGUUUCUAUAUGAAUAAGUCAGGUGUGGUCAGAGAAGGUGCUAAAGAAUUACAAGAAAGGGCUUCCAAGAUAAGCCACAGGUUACAGACAUCAGAUAUGUGGUUUUCUUGGGUGCCAGGUUCUGGAUGGAUUAAACAAAUGAUAUUCUUGUUCAUAUGUGCGAUAGCUGGUCUAGCAUUCAUCCCAUGUGUAAUCCCAAUACUCAGACAACUAUCAAUAAAAGCAGUAAAGGAGAUUCAAGUUGAGAAGGAACUAGCUUUGACAGAACAUUUUCUUAAUCAACUUGGUCCCUAUACUGUGGAAGAACCUACAGAUUCUGAGCCAGAACCAUAUGUGGAAAUGGGACCAGUGGAAAGAUGGAGAGAAUCUAAGAAUCAAGAGAAUAGACACAAUCAUGUAUAACUUGUUAUUUGCCUUUAUUACUUAUAUUUUGUUAGAACUUAUAUAUUGUAGAUUUGUUUAUUGGAACCUUGUAUACUCACUUGUUACACUUAUAAUAGAAUAGUGGAAGUUUAUGCAUAGAAAAACUUCCAGAGGGGGGAAUAAUGUAGGUAAGCGGAUCCAGCUGGAUGAUCACUGAAGGGCCCUCUUUAUUCAUAGUAUUGUAGGAAAGGAAAUGUGCUUGUUUAAGGGAAGCCAAUUAUCCAGUUGAAAGGCAGAGAAUUCCUUUGAAGUAGAAACAUUCAGAAGGGCCUCUCAGUUGUCAGAAAUAGAGAUAUUUGGUGAUAUACAGUUUGAAGGUUAAAAUAGAUCAAAGGAUAACCACAUGUAAUAUCAACAAGAGAUAAUUUGAAUCUAUGCUUCAGUGAUUUACAAGAUGAAUUAUGACUGUUUGGCAAGAAUAAUAUGAAAUUUAGUAAUCAGGAAAUGUCAAUUAAAUAUAACAAAUGUAUAUGACCACAUAAACUGCUGUGUUAGCAGAAUCCUUUGUCUUAGAAGGGUAUAAAACCAUUGUAACUAAUUUCUGUCUUUGUUCAACGCUUCACGUACAAACGAGCUUUGAACCUAUUGCGCAAUAUACUGUCUCUGACUAACCCGGAAAAGUUGUGUUGGUCUAAUUAAUCCACAACAUUUAAGCUGAUUUAAAGACUGCAAAAGAGAUCUGGUUGAAAUUAAGAAAUGUGCGUGUGAGUUUCUCUGCAUGCAAUAUUGUACAAUUAUCAAGAAAAUUAUACAGAGCCAGUUUACAACCAGGGGAAUCUGUAGAACAACAUUUUGUACGAAUGCAAACUUUGUUUGUAGAAUUGGAACAGCGUGGCAUUCAGGUUCCCAAGGUGUUGCUAGUGUUAAACAGUCUUGAUGAAAUGUGGGACAUUGUUUCUGCAGUAUUUGAGUACAAACCAGAGCAGGAGUUGUAUUUGGAGGCUUUAAAGGCUUGUUUGAUUGUUGAGGAACAGAAAUGCCAUUAUCAAAAAAGCCAAGAGGAGGAAUUCCUGAAGUGGGGGCCCAAGGAGCAGAGUGAUAAUCCCUGAAAAGUCUUUGAAUGCUUUUAUUAUCUAUAUAAAUCUCAUUUCCUCUUGCAUUUUAAUUAUUCUUUUCUUUUCUUAAUUUCUUUUCUUAAUUUAUAUGCCAGCCAUCUCCCUGGUUUUGUAUAUUUUAAUUUCUACAUCUGGAACCAUCAGCAUAAUAACUUGUCGCAAAAAUUUUAAUUCAUAGGUAUUUAUUGAUGAAAUGAGUAAUGCUUUCUGAGACAAUGAAUAUGAGGUGUUUUUUUUUUUGCUACCAGUAGCUGUGCUGGUACUUUUUUUUAGCACAAGUAUGAAUUGAACUGAUGACAUCACAUCUUGCUUAUAUGUAGAAAAAAACCCAGGAAGGUGGGGUAGAAAUAGCAUUGUGGUUAAAAACUCUCUUUUAAAAGUCUCUAAUUUUUAACUAUCCAAAUGUGGGUGACACCUGCCAUGAAGUACAUAUAUGGCUGUAUCCCAAACCAUCGAAGAUAUUGUUCAUGUUUUAUUCGACUGUCAACUAUAUACCUUCUUAAACUUAGAUAGUUAACAUCCCUACUUGAAAGGAUAGCCUAUUGGGAUCUGAAAUGCAAAUUGUCCUAUUUCCACUUCGGGUCUAAUGUAAACGUUGUGAGCAGAACCAUUAAGUUAACUGAUAAAUGAAACAGUUAACCUAAGAACACUGUAUCAAAGAGAUUGGUAUAUCCUGUAAGGGGGAUGUGUUCUCUGGACUAUUGACUCUUUGUAUUUAGCACAUAAUGUAUUUUAUUACUGUAUUUUCCUUUUAUCUAUUUUAUUCUGACUUCAUAUCCUCUAUUUUAUUUUUUAAAAUGUUUUUGCUAUGGAUGUAAGACUAAUCAAUAAAUAAAGUAUCCAUCUAUAUAAAGUGGAAUGGAAUGCCCGCAAGUAAUAUCCUUAUUUUUAAAAAUGCUUUUGGGAUAGUAUAGUAUUUUAAAGUCAACCUGUUUCUGGAUUCUUCUCUUAAAAUAAAGGCUCAUUCAUUGUUGAUGAAA